GGGCGAGUAGAUCAGCCCGGUAGAUCGUCCGGUUGGCAAUCGGGAGGCCCCGGGUUCAAAUCCCGGCUCGUCCA
rnacentral:tRNA from 1 species